rnacentral:rRNA from 1 species
UACAGAGGUCUCAAGCGUUGUUCGGAUUCAUUGGGCGUAAAGAGCUCGUAGGCGGUCUGUCGCGUCUGCUGUGAAAACUCGGGGCUUAACCCCGGGCCUGCAGUGGGUACGGGCAGACUAGAGUGCGGUAGGGGAGACUGGAAUUCCUGGUGUAGCGGUGAAAUGCGCAGAUAUCAGGAGGAACACCGGUGGCGAAGGCGGGUCUCUGGGCCGUAACUGACGCUGAGGAGCGAAAGCAUGGGGAGCGAACAGG